UCCUCGGAGGAUGUGGAAAGAAGGAACUUCAGAGAAAACACUCCGUUUUUGGAGGGGUUUUAAAGAAAAUUUUCAAAUACAGAAAAAGUAGAGAGCCUAGUAUGAUGACCACUUUACCUGUUACAGUCUCGUCAGCUAUCAACGUGGACGUCCUCCUGUCGGGGCUGAGAGAAUAGUGGAAAUGAUGAACUGCCAGUUCUGGACCUUGCCCUUAAGAGGACUGCCAGCUUCUGCCAUGGCCUCUUGGGUCCAUGAGCUGCCAUGAAGAAGGUCAAACCACUCUGCUGGAGAGACCACCUGAGGAGGCCCUGAGACUACACGGGAAGGGAGAGGGGCCCAGCUGAGGCAAACGGCCCCCACAGCAGCCUCCUUGUCGGUCCCCCAGUGUCUGGAUAAACCGAUGCCGGCACGGCGCGGGCCCCGGCGGGCCGAGCCCUUCCGCACAUCUCCGCGCGCGCACGGGGAAGCCGAGGCAGGCAUGCAGGGCGGGAGAGAGGGCCCGCAGGGACCAGCCCGCCGCGCUCCCGCAGGCCGGCCCAGACACGCUCCGAGCGCAGCGCCGGUUUCCGCGGCGCCGGCGUUUUGGUCCCCAGCGCGUUUGUCUUUCAAGCGACAGGAGCGAUCGCGGAAAAGCGUUCCGUCCCCGCGUUCCGUCCCCUUGUUCCGGUGCACGAGCAAAGGCGUUUGCAUGAGAACAGGAACUCUGUUUGCUGAGAAGGCCGGUUUGGGGGUGCAUCGAGCCCUCCGGCGUCCCCGCAGACCCACCCCCACGCCGCGGGCCCGGGGACACGCUCCUGCCGGCCCUGCUGGGCUCUGUGCCGAGGCGCAGGAGCCGCGGGGCUGAGGUGCCGAAGGGGCGGCCCGGGUCUCGGUCCCCGCCGGCUCCUCCGCGGCCGCGCGGAUCCUUUCCCUAUCCGUCCGAUGGGGCGCGAACAGAUUCAAGGCUUGACUCCUGGGAGCCUCCCUGGUAGGUGCGCGCCUGGCACGCAGGAGGGGACCAAGUGCAUGCGGGCUCCAGUGUCCCUUUCCAACUCUUUUUCUCAGUCACCUCUUUUGAAAUCCCAUCCCUCCCAGCCUCGGAGGCAGGAUAAGUGGUAAGAGAAGGCGUUCAGGAGCCCUGGAUACCUGGAUUCAAAUCCUAUUCCGGCACUUGCCAGCUAGGUAGCCGAGAGCAAGUUACUCUGUCUCUGGUGGCCACAGCUUCCUCAUCCGUAAAAGGGGAUGAAACAGUCCAUAGGGUGCUAAGUUCAGUCAUUGUCACAAAUUAAGUGCUUAAUUCACUAUUAUGAUCACCACUUCCAGUUGAAAGUUGCAGAUGUGGAACAGGUUCAAGGUCACACAAGUGGAUGGGGUCAAUGGCAAACCCUUCAGAUCUCCUGAGUAUCAGAACUGUUAGUCUCCAGCAGCUUAACAAGCAAGUCCCCCACAUAGUUUUAUAGAGACGGGUAGAGGUGGGAGGCAAGGAGCUUCUGGUCAUCUCUCUCCUCUUCCCCUAGCCACGCCCCGCCCCCCUACAAACCCCCAGAAUAUGCACAGAGUUCCACGGAAACGGGAAGGGCAAUGGCUGGCUGAUCCAGUGCCCGGAGAGAGGUUCUGGGAUGUUUUUCUCCUAAGUUGAAACCGUUUAUUUUUUUCUAUUCUAUUUUUUAAAAUUAUUUUUAUUUUUAUUUAGUAUGGAAAUACAGAAAACUCGGUCUGUAGGAGCCAGCCUGGCUUUUCAGAGCAGUCCAUAAUCCCUCCAACAGCUCCCCGCCAGGCAGGAAGCCUAAUGCUGCCCUCCAGUGGCCGGCAGAGUUGUGCGGACCCAAUGAGGGUGACAAACAAGGGAACCAGAGAAACAAGCUUCACUUAGCACAUGGUGGAGGCAAGUCUGGAAGAGAGAGGGAGAAAAUACAGCCUGGCUCCCCCAUGGCUUAUUUGUGGUUCUGGUGGAUCUCUCUGGAAUCUAGGGAAGAGAAAAUAAAAGAAUGAAUUCGAAAGGCACAGGAGUUUUUUCAUUUUGCUUUUACUUAUUCCUGAAUAGAUGUCACAUUUGCAUGAUUCAAAAGAUAGGAAAGACAGUAGCGUGAAAAAGAAGUCUCCUUUCCACUCUUGUUCCCCUGCCACUCAGUUCCCCUUCUGAGAGGCAGCUGUUGUCAUGUUUCUCGCAUAUACUCCAGCAGAAAGUCUAUACAAAUACAGAUAUUUUAUAAGAUCAGUAGCUUCUUCUAUAUACUCUUGCAUCUCGCGGCUUCACUUAAAAAUGUCUCCUGGGAUUUGUUCCAUAUCGAUUCAGAGGGCUGUCUCAUUCCUUUGAACAGCUGCAUAAUAUUCCAUUGUAUGAAUCUUGUACUUAUUCAAUUAGUCUUCUAUUGAUGAAACUUUAACUUGCUCACAAUCUUUUGUAAUCGUAAUGUUACAACAAAUAAUCUUGUACAUAUACGGUUGUGUGUCCAAACGAGUGCAUCACUCGGCUAAUGCUUAUAACAAAGGACUUUCAACAAAAAGCUUUUGUUAUUGCUCAUAUGGAUGGCCCUGCUGAUCUGGGUCAGGCGGGGCUCAUUUUGUGUUGGUUCCUUGUGUCUGGGUCGGAGGGUGGGUCUUGCUGGGGGCUGGCUUGUCUAGGAAGAAUGGGCUCAGUCACAUAUCUGGCAGUUGGCUGGUUAGCAGCUGGGGUGAGAAGGGUGCCUGGGCCAUGUUGCUCAUCCCAGCAACAAGCAAGGCCUCUGGAAACUCCACGAUUGGCAUCACAUUUCAUCACACUCUUUUGGUCAAAAUAAGUCACAGGCUAGCCCGGAUUCAAGAGGUGGGGAGAUAGAAACCACCUCUCCAAGGGGGAGCAGCAAAGUCACAUUGCAAAGGGCAUGAUGCAAACGAUGUGAACUAUUGUGGUCAUUAAAAACCAUGUUUAACUAAUGUUUUUUAUUUUAUAAUGGUUAGAUUUACAGGAAAGUUGCAAAGAUAGUACAGAGAGUUUCUAUAUAUCCCUGCACUUAACAAUUGCACUUAACGAUUGCAUUUAACAAUCGACCUUUAGUGAUUCGUCAGAAUUAUUCCUUCACUGUGGUAUAUUUAUACAAUAGAAUACCACUCAGCCAUAAAAAAGAAUAAAAUAAUGCCAUUUGCAGCAACAUGGAUGGACCUGAUUGUCAUUGUAAGUGAGGUAAGCCAGAAAGAAAAAGAAAAAUACCAUAUGAUAUCACUCAUAUGUGGAAUUGAAAAAAAGAAAAAAAGAAGAUGCAAAUGAACUCAUUUACAAAACAGAAACAGACUCACAGAUAUAGUAAACAAUUUUAUGGUUAUCAGAGGGGAAAGGGGGUGGGAAGGGAUAAAUUGAGAGUUCGAGACUUGCAAAUAUUAAUUACUAUGUAUAAAAAUAGAUACAACAGAUUUCUUCAGUGUAGCACAGGGAACUAUAUUCAAUAUCUUGUAGUAACCUUUAAUGACAAAGAAUAUGAAAAUGAAUAUAUGUAUGUAUACAUGUGACUAAAACAUGCUAUACAUCAGAAAUUGACACAUCGUAACUGACUAUACUUCAAUAAAAAAAAGUAAAAGAACAACAAAAAGGAAUUAUUCCUUCACUGUUCCCACUGAUUUAUGGUAAGCCUGUCUUGGGUGCCAUGUCUCUUUAGACGCACCUGACUCCCCAGAUUUGUGGGUGGCCAUUUGCCCUUCAACCUCAGGUCUCUGACGGAUUCAAGAAAAGGCAUUGAUUUCCAGCUUGCCUAAUUCUUUCUUGUCAUAAGGAUAGGAGUAAUGACUUUCAAGCUCUUUACGUGUUGAAGUUGAAACCACAAGUCCCUAUUGUGGCCAUUUUUUAUAUCAAUCUACCACAGCAAGUAAGAAAUAUUAAGGGUCACAAAAUCAUAGGACUAUAAUCUUGGAAUCAUAACGACUUUGGCACACAGACUUAGGGUUUUGCAACUGGGGAAGCAUAAAUUUUAAGAAUAAAAAUUCCCCAGAUUGAAAAUCUCCAUGGGCUCUCCACUGCUUAGAGGAUGACAUGAGAUAAAACAUUUUUCAUUGCCUGGCCCAUCCUACCUCUCCAGCCUCGUUUCUCAUCACGCAUCUCACCUCCCAUCCAGAUCCUGUUCCCGCUCCCGCUCCCCCCCAGAAAACAAACCUGGGAUCAUACUCAGGGUUCCAGGCGUGCGGAACAUGAAUUGAG